rnacentral:rRNA from 1 species
GACGAACGCUGGCGGCGUGCUUAACACAUGCAAGUCGAACGAGAAGAAAUGAGAAGCUUGCUUCUUAUCAAUUCGAGUGGCAAACGGGUGAGUAACGCGUAAGCAACCUGCCCUUCAGAUGGGGGACAACAGCUGGAAACGGCUGCUAAUACCGAAUACGUCUUUUGUCGCAUGGCAGAGGGAAGAAAGGGAGGCUCUUCGGAGCUUUCGCUGAAGGAGGGGCUUGCGUCUGAUUAGCUAGUUGGAGGGGUAACGGCCCACCAAGGCGACGAUCAGUAGCCGGUCUGAGAGGAUGAACGGCACAUUGGGACUGAGACACGGCCCAGACUCCUACGGA